rnacentral:rRNA from 1 species
GGUCAAUAGCCUAACGGCUGAACCAGCAACUUGGAAGAAUGGAUUAUUUGUAUAUAUACAAUAUUAACUAUGUUAAAUAAAGUUCUAGGUAGAAUUAUGAUAAUGACAUAUUUUAUCUAUAAGUCUUGACCAAGUCACGUGCCAGCAGUCGCGGUAAUACGUGGAAGACUAGUGUUAUUCAUCUUUAAUAGGUUUAAAGGGUACCUAGACAGUUAAUUAAGCCUAAAAGGCACUGAUUAACUAGAGUUUAAUAUAAGAAGGAGAGUACGGUGAGUGUAGAGAUAAAAUUCGAUAAUACCAUUUAGAAACUGGUAAUGGCGAAAGCAACCUUUUAUGUAAAAACUGACGUUGAGGUACGAAGGCUCGAUAAAGUAACAGGAUUAGAUACCCUAGUAUUGUGAGCAGACAAUGAUGAAUGUCAUAUAUAAGAUUAUAUUUUAUAUAUAAAUGAAAGUGUAAACAUUCCACCUCAAGAGUAAUACGGCAAGGUAGGAACUGAAAUCAUUAGACCGUUUCUGAAACCAGUAGUGGAGUAUGUUGUUUAAUUUGAUAACCCACGUAAAACCUUACCACAACUUGAAUAUUUAUAAUUUAUUUAUAAUUACAGGAGUUGCACGGCUGUCUAAAGUUAAUGUCGUGAGAUUAUGGUUAGUUCCAUUAAAUUAACGUAAACCCUUACUUUAUUUUUUAUAAAGUAGUUCGCCAUUAUAUUGGUAAUGAUAUAAGGGAUUAAGACAAGUCAUCAUGGCCUUAAUGUUGUGGGC